rnacentral:rRNA from 1 species
ACGGAAGGCAGCAGUGAGGAAUAUUGGUCAAUGGACGGAAGUCUGAACCAGCCAAGUCGCGUGAAGGAAGAAGGUUCUAUGGAUUGUAAACUUCUUUUAUUCGAGGGUAAAGUGAGGUACGUGUACCUUAUUGCAAGUAUCGAAUGAAUAAGCAUCGGCUAACUCCGUGCCAGCAGCCGCGGUAAUACGGAGGAUGCGAGCGUUAUCCGGAUUUAUUGGGUUUAAAGGGUGCGUAGGCGGGAUGCUAAGUCAGUGGUAAAAGCGUGUGGCUCAACCAUACCGAGCCGUUGAAACUGGCGUUCUUGAGUGUAAACGAGGUAGGCGGAAUGUGACGUGUAGCGGUGAAAUGCUUAGAUAUGUCACAGAACACCGAUUGCGAAGGCAGCUUACCAGCAUACAACUGACGCUGAUGCACGAAAGCGUGGGUAUCAAACAGGAUUAGAUACCCUGGUA